UAUGUGAUCGUCUCUCGCAUAUCAAUAAGCGGAGGAAAAGAAACUAACAAGGAUUCCCCUAGUAACGGCGAGUGAAGCGGGAAGAGCUCAAAUUUGAAAUCUUAAAGGGUUUCCCUUUACGAAUUGUAGUUUAAGGAAGUGUUUUCUGUUGAGGUUUUGGUAAAAGUUCUUUGGAAUAGGACAUCAUAGAGGGUGAGAAUCCCGUAUUUGACCUUUACUUUCAACUUUGUGAUACACUUUCAAAGAGUCGGAUUGUUUGGGAAUGCAGUCCAAAAUGGGUGGUAAAUUUCAUCUAAAGCUAAAUAUUGGCGAGAGACCGAUAGCGAACAAGUACCGUGAGGGAAAGAUGAAAAGAACUUUGAAAAGAGAGUUAAACAGUACGUGAAAUUGUCAAAAGGGAAGCGUUUGACACCAGUGUUGUUUUUCUGAAAAUCAAUUAAAGAACUGUUUAUGCUAAGUUGUUUAGACUUUAUCAGCUAACUGUUUAGUUUUGAGCUUUUCUUUAAUGCACUUUUCAGUUAACAAGUCAACAUCAAUUUCUUUUGCUGUAAAAAAGCUUGAGGAAGGUGGCUUGAGAUUCGUCUUAAGUGUUUAUAGCCUCUUGCCUAUGCAGUCGGAGAGAUUGAGGUCUGCAGCGUAGAUCCUUCGGGGCUAAAUGCAUUUGCGCUAAGUUAUAGCAUUUUAUAGACAACUUGUUGACUAUGAUUUGUCUUGUAGCUUACUCGCUUAUGUUAUUUUACCUACGCUUAGGAUGUUGAUCUACAGAGCGAGAGU
rnacentral:rRNA from 1 species